UGGGGAAUAUUGCACAAUGGGCGCAAGCCUGAUGCAGCCAUGCCGCGUGUAUGAAGAAGGCCUUCGGGUUGUAAAGUACCUUCAGCGGGGAGGAAGGCGAUAAGGUUAAUAACCUUGUCGAUUGACGUUACCCGCAGAAGAAGCACCGGCUAACUCCGUGCCAGCAGCCGCGGUCAUACGGAGGGUGCAAGCGUUAAUCGGAAUUACUGGGCGUAAAGCGCACGCAGGCGGUCUGUCAAGUCGGAUGUGAAAUCCCCGGGCUCAACCUGGGAACUGCAUUCGAAACUGGCAGGCUAGAGUCUUGUAGAGGGGGGUAGAAUUCCAGGUGUAGCGGUGAAAUGCGUAGAGAUCUGGAGGAAUACCGGUGGCGAAGGCGGCCCCCUGGACAAAGACUGACGCUCAGGUGCGAAAGCGUGGGGAGCAAACA
rnacentral:rRNA from 1 species